GCGCCGCCGGGGCGGCGGGCGAACCGCCGAACGCCUUCAGCGCGUUUGCCAGCUCUUCGGCGUUCGUCGCGGCGGCCAGCGUU
rnacentral:tRNA from 1 species